UACAGAGGUCUCAACCGUUGUUCGGAUUCAUUGGGCGUAAAGGGUGCGUAGGCGGUCGCGCAAGUCGGAUGUGAAAUCUCAGGGCUCAACCCUGAAACUGCAUUCGAUACUGCGUGGCUAGAGUGCUGGAGAGGAGACUGGAAUUUACGGUGUAGCAGUGAAAUGCGUAGAUAUCGUAAGGAAGACCAGUGGCGAAGGCGAGUCUCUGGACAACAACUGACGCUGAGGCACGAAGGCCAGGGGAGCAAACGGG
rnacentral:rRNA from 1 species